GGCUUUUGGUGAAGGAAUGAUGAAAUAUCUCAUUGUAGUUUUUACUAGAAGAGAUGAAUUGGAUACAAAUGGUAUGACAAUUCAGGGCUAUGUGACAAAAUUUAAAAAGGAUCAGAAAAAUUUUCUUGCCAGUUGCGAUAAUCGUUAUUUUGCUAUCAAUAACAUUGCACCAGAUGCAGGAAAAGAAACACAAGCAAACGACUUAAUCAACAUGAUUUUCGAACUGGAGAAACAAAACAAAGGAAAGAUUUACCAAAAUGAAGAGUUUGACAACGCAGAGAAAGAACUCGAAAACAGAAUACAAGAAUUGCAUAAUAAAUCCCCUACCAGUGUUGAAGAAAUGUCUAUCUUGAGAGCAUCGCUGCGUCGCGAAAUUACAGAGGGGUCUAUUUGGUCUAAAGCAGUUCUCGGAAUACUUGUUGCGGGUGGUGCUGGUCUAGUUGGGGCAGUUGCACUAUAUUUUGCAGGGCCUUCUGCUGUGGUAACUGGUAUAGCUGCUAUUUUGUCAAGUGUAACAAAGUUUUACCCGAAAUGACUCUAAAACAUUUAAUCGCAAUUUAAGGAUAAACGGAGUUUUGGAUACAUUAUGACAUGCAUGUACGUAAUUGCAAUCUUUAAUAAUCAAUUUUCAUUAAUGUAUGCAAUAAAUACUUAGCAGAACAUACAGAAGAGACGUCACCAUGACGACACGAUUUGGUUGACCGAUACGACGAAUCUGUAAUUCAACUUUCUAUCGACACGACAUGAUUUGGCAGUCGUAAAGAUACCAGUAUAGGCGUCUUAUCUAUAAUUUAACCGAUUGUGUCCAUUCCCAACUGUGAUAUUUUAACUGGUUGUGGAUUUGCUUGACUAUCGAUGCAUGUACCGCAGGAGACGCCUUCCCUGUCGACAAUCUCUGUCUUGGUCCUUUUGAGUUCAUACGACCCCCUUUGAGUUUUUUGUCAACUGGAUUAGUGUCUCCUUAAUCAAUUUAUUGGUAUACUACUGUUGUCUAAAUUCAGAAGAGGAAUGCAAAAUAGGUAUCCAGAUAACACUACAAAUAUGAAAAUAUUAAAAGUAAAAAUAUAAGUUAACUCUCAAAGAAGGAAACACCAUUAUCUAAGGUUAAGGGAAUGCCGGGUUGAGCGCUCACAACCAUAAUUAACCCCGUCACAUUCUUUAUGUGCAUGUCUCAAAGCUAGAGCCUAUAAUUCAGUGGUUUUGUUUGGUUGCUGUCUGCCAUACUUGUUUUUCGUUUAUUGGUUUUAGCAUAAAUGAAACCGUUGGUUUUUCUCUUUUGAAUUAUUUCAUAUUUUGUCAUUCCAGGACCUUUUAAAGCAUACUAUACGGUACGCGAUUUACUCAUCGUUGAAGGUUGAUAGUUCAACUUGUACAAAAUGUAUCAUUGGCAAUCAGACAACAUCUACAUAUUUAAAAAAAGAAGACGUUUACGAUUAUGGGACACAUGCACAAUUAAAUCGCAAUUACAUUAAAGCUAAUUCUUAGGUCAAUUCAAAAUCACACUAUUUUCCAUCUUAAUCUAAAUGCACCGAAAUUGGGUUAAUUUUUCCUCUGAACAUGCGAUAUUUAAUUAUAUUGCCUCGUUGUAAGAGUCAUUACCGCUUGUAUAAAAUAAAGUCGGUAAACUUUAAACACGUAGGAGAAUAUUUCCACGAUUUUACAUUGUAUAUUGACUCGAACAUGAUAAGGGUCGACUGAUUCGUGAUAUCGAUUGAUUGGUUUAAUCUUUAUUGCAUAAGCAACAACAUUGAUGCAGCAAAAUAACAAUGUGUUACAGUUUGUAAAAUCCCUGAAAUAUUCAGAAAUUUUGAAAAAAUCACAAGCAGUGUUAGUAAUUUUGUAAAAUACCUGAAAUUAUAAGUUUUAUAAAAUCAGUGAAUAUAGUGCUAGCUUUGUAAAAUCCCUACUUUAAACCAUAUAAAUGUCAUGAAUGUGUUAGAAAUGUAUUUUUUCUAAUAAAGAAUAAUAUGUUCAAGGUAUCUAUUUUAACAUACAUAACCGGUUUACCCCCUUAAAUACAGUGAGUGAUUCUGGAUAAAAGACAUGUCGCCAGUUACAAAGUUUCAAAUCACCGUAACUAAUUCUGCAUGAUAAAAUUUGGAUGACGUCACAAUUACCAUGCACCUAACCCAAGCCUAUUUUCUUCACAGUUUUGUUUGCAGAACAACCACAUUUCAAAUAUUCUAAUAAAUGAUGUCCAACACAAAUAGCAGGUAAUUUAACUGCUUGACAAAUAUAAAUUAUCCUGCGAUUCAUGAAAAUACAGGAACAAGUCUGCUACUAAAGGGGCACAAUUGGUACCCAUAGGAAAACCUACAACCUGUCGAUAGACUUAUUUCAAAAAACAAAACGCUUUGUGAGUACUUGAAUUUUGUUUUGUCCUAGAAAUUGGCGUAUUUCUUACCCUUUAAUUGAUUUCUUAAUUAUUUUCGAAAUGUGAUAUGCGAAUAUCAACAAUAUUCAGACAUUUUUUUUUAAAUAGGAAUCAAGUGACUUUUUGUCAGAUUUCUCCCAUUCAAACAAAUUUUUACAAUAAGAUGAAAGAGUAAACAUAUCACAUACUAUUAUGAACAAAGGCAAAAAAAAACACAGAAAUAAAGACAAUUUUUAUGAUAUUCUGUAUAUUAAUAUCUUAUUAAAACUGUAUAGACGUGAUGUUUUAUGUGAUUUAUAGAAUUAAUAGUUUAAACCAGAUUUCCUGUGAUAAAAUAUCCCGGAAAUGAAAGCUUGUUACGAUGAGUAAAAUGUACAUAUUGGACAAAUUUAUGACAAUUUGCUUAUAAAAUUAAUUUUAACAACAUGGGAAAUAAACUGGAAAAGUUACCAGAAAAAGAAGUUCAGUUCCUGCGCAUGCAUACAAAUUUUGACAAAACAAGAAUUAAAGAGUCAUAUAAAGAAUACCUGAAAAUAUCACCGAAAGCCUUGAUGGGUCUCUCGACAUUCAAAGAAUACUUGAGACAGUUCUUCGGUGAUGAAGCUGACAGUUUUGCACACCACUACUUCAGAGUGAUUGAUAAGGACAACAGUGGCAAUAUAAAUUUUGCAGAGUUUUUACUGUAUUUGAGCAAUGAAAGUGAUCCCAAUAUUUUCUGUAAAAUCAGGUUGAUGUUUGAAUUAUUCGAUAUAGACGGGGAUGGCAGGAUUGAAAAGAAAGAAAUGGCAGAAAUAUUUAAGAUUGCAUUAAAAAUGACAGAAGAAGAUAAAGAAGAUGGGUUAGCUGCACAUAAAUUAACACAAAAAUUAUUUGAAGAUUAUGAUAAAGGAAAAGAAUUUCUGACACAAAAUGAAUUCACUGACAUGUUCCUUGAAAACAGGAUUCUCUUUAAAAACUUUCCUGUUUUAAGUAGUACCUUGUUUACCGAAGUGUGUAUGGAUCCUAAUAAAUGAUUUAAUGUUUAAAAUUAAUGUUAAACCUUUCCUGCUAUACAUGUGGAUAAUGUUUGUUUACAUCAAAUCAUAUACAUUGUAUAUAAUUUUUUUGUCUUCACAAAAGGAUUAAAGAAAAUAAAAUUUAAUUAUAGGUUUCAUUACGAGUUAAAAUUGGAUAUCGCUUGAUAUCAACAGAUGUUAUUUAAUUUCAGCAUGAUAAUAAUAAACGAGGUUUCGUGUCGAGAAUACCACUAUCAUUGAAAUUAAAGAACGAGAGUUGAUAUCAAGCGAUAUUUGAUUAUCACAAGUUGUUGAACCUAUUUCUCUUAUGGUAAAAAAAACCUCUGUUGAUAUAAUUCCGAUUUCGCAAGCUUCACCUAAAAUAUAAAUUAUAGUGUGAUACUAGAAAUAUAUCUUUGUGCGGGAAAUAGAUUAAAAAAACAACCAUAAAAGAAGUGGUUUUAUAUCUAGAAGUAUAUGGAUUUUAAAAUCUGACACUAGUACACGAGCUAAAGAAAAAGUUAAAUCUCAAGAGUUAAUUCUUUCCGGGAUAGUGAAAGAACACAUUUAAAAUUUAUAAAAUAUAAUUGUUUAAAUUUGAUUCGUUGAAUACUAAUUAAAAAUAAGUUAAAUGAAAUGGCAAUUUGGUUUUAAUAUUUGAACAUGUUUAUUUCGAAACUUACAAUUUUAUUGACAAAUGGAGCAUAUUUUUCAUGCCGGAGUCUUUUAUAGCCGACUACACGGUAUGGGUUUUUUUCAUUGUUGAAGGCCGUACGGUUGCCUAUAAUAUUGCUUACAUCCAUUUCAUUUGAACUUUGUUGGAUAGUUGUUUCAUUGGCAAUCAUACCACAUCUUCUUUUUUUAUAUUUACUGCAGGGUUUGUUACUCGUGCUGUAUACAUGUAGUAAAAUGUGUCCCCAUGCCCGUAGCGUAUGCCCUUAUAUUUUACAGUUAGGGGUUUUAGCGUGUGAGAGAUCUGUUUACAUGGUCCAACGUUUGGUCUCCUGUGGGAAGUUGUCUCAUUGGCAAUCAUAUCACAUCUUCUUAUUUUUAUAUUUACAUCAUGGUUUGUUACUCGUGCUGUAUAAAUGCAGUAGAAAGUGUCCCCGUGCCUGUAGUGUAUGCCCUUAUGUUUUACAGUUAGGAUUUUUUGCGUGUGAGAGAGCUGUUUACAUAUUCCAGUCAUUAGGUCUCUUGUGGAUUGUUGUUUCAUUGGCAAUCAUACCACAUCUUCUUAAUUUUAUAUUUACCUCAGGGGUUGUUACCCGUGCUGUAUAAAUGCAGUAGAAUGUGUCCUCGUGCCUGUUGUGUAUGCCAUUCUAUUUUACAGUUAAGGUUUUUUUGCUUGUUAGAAAGCUGUCUACAUAUUCCAGUCAUUUGGUCUCCUGUGGAGAGUUGUCUCAUUGGCAAUCAUACCACAUCUUCUUAUAAUUUAUAAUUGCGUUCAGAUUUCGAAAAUGUGACCUUUACUCGGGAAAAAAAGAUUCAGACAUUUUGAUCCAAAAGUAUCAAAAGGAAAAGGGCAACGUCUUAAGAGGUUAAUUUUUACCACAUGUCAAAAUGACAAUUUUAACAUUCUUUAUUUUUAUACUUUUACAGAAAAAAAAUGUAAAGCUAAAUAAAUUUCAACAGAACCGGGAUCUAUAUUAAAUUUUAUUAACUUGUGAAAAUAUUUUGUUUUAGAAUUAAAAUCUAUCUAUAUUAAAAAUAUAAAACAAGAUAUCAGUACAGUUGACUUAUUAUUUUACUAUAGAACCCUAUGGGAUUUUAUUUUUUAAAAUUUUCAAAUGAUUAUAAAUUGAAAACCGUUUGUGAUAGACAAUCUUUUUAAUUGAAAAUGUUCUAAAUGAUAAAGCACAUUAAAUGAAAUACAGGGUGGGUCCCCAGGGGUCAUCCCCACCCCCUGCCAUUUAAGAAACUUCUAAUAUCUUGUAAAUGGUCGAGAUCCCCACCCCUAAACCAUAUAUAUUCUGGUUUGUCAUGCUAAGAUGGUUUGAAUGAUAUACAGGGCUAGUCCCCAGGGGUCAUCCCGACCCCCUGCCAUUUGAGAAAGUUCUAAUAUCUUGUAAAUGGUCGAGAUCCCCACCCCUAAACCAUAUAUAUUCUGGUUUGUCAUGAUAAAGCACAUCAAAUGAAAUACAGGGUUAGUCCCCAGGGGUCACCCCCACCCCCUGCCAUUUAAGAAAGUUCUAAUAUCUUGUAAGUGGUCAAGAUCCCCACCCCUAAACCAUAUAUAUUCUGGUUUGUCAUACCAAGAUGGUUUGAAUGAUAUACAGGGUUAGUCCCCAGGGGUCAUCCCGACCCCCUGCCAUUUGAGAAAGUUCUAAUAUCUUGUAAAUGGUUGAGAUCCCCACCCCUAAACCAUAUAUAUUCCUGUUCAUCAUGUCUCGAACAUUUGAAUGACGUAUAGGGUCAGUCCCCAGGGGUUCCCCCCACCCCCAAUGUUCUAGUAUCUUGUAAAUGGUCGAGAUCCCCACCCCUAAACCAUAUAUAUUCUGGUUUGUCAUGCCAAGAUGAUUUGAAUGAUAUACAGGGUUAGUCCCCAGGCAUCACUAAUGCAUAUAACUUUACUGGACCAAACCAAUUUUCACUGGACUUUGUCCAAUGUCAGGCGACCCUGGGAAUUACGAAUUAUGGGAGCUUCGUUUGGGAGGCUUCGUAACAGCAUCCUGUUAUAAUCAUUUCUUGUUAUAGUUUGUUCUUAUGUUGUGCUUAUGUUACACCACUUUUCCAGGUUAGGGGAAGGGUUAGGCGGCUAUAAAUAUGUUUUCCUCGGCAAAAUCUGUAUGUGACUAUCCCAAGUUAGGUGUCUGUAAUACAGUGGUUGUCGUUUGUUGCUGUAUACCAUAUAAGUUUUCCUUUUAUUGUUUUGUACAUAAAUCAGGCCAUUCGUUUUCUCGUUUGAAGUGUUUCACAUUUGUCAUUUUGGGGCAUUUCAUAGCUUGCUUUGCAAUAUAAGUUUUCCUCAUUUUUGAAGACCGUACGGCGACUUUAAUAAAACGUAGUCUGGUCUCCGGUGAAGUAUUAUCUAAUUGGCAAUCAUUCCACAUCUUUUUAUUUAUAUAUUAGCUUGCUUUCAGUCUACAUUUAUGUAUUAUAUAGUACUGUUGUACUUGUACCUUCAUAUAUACUUUAUUAUCGCUAUUAUAGAGGAACAUGUUCUUUCCCUGAAUGAUUUUCUUGAGUAAGCUCUUCUGUUGCUGUUGAUUAAAUGAUCAAGAUUGAAAUUUAAAGUAUUAAUAUCUCGUUAAGUCUCCUUUGAUAAGUUUUUUUUACGAGAUCUUAUGUAACUUCAGUUAAUUUCUGUUGCCUCUUACAUUUUUGGGCCAAUCAAUAUUUUGUUUCGUUAUACCUUAUGUUGGUUAUUGAUUUGAAAUGAAAUUUAAAUCAAAACGAUUUUUUGGCAAAACACUAUAAUUGUACACGUAAAAUAAUUCAAACGAGAAAACUAACGGCCUGAUUCAUGUACAAAACAAUGAACAAAAACCAAAUAUGCAUUUUUGAAUUAUGAUUCAGUCAGACACAAAUCGUUUUUAAACAUCAAUUUAUUUUCAAAAAUAACAUACAUUUGUCAUUUCAGGGCCUUUUAUUGCUGACUAUGCGGUAUGGGUUUUGUUCAAUGUUGAAGGCCGUACGGUGACCUAUAGUUGAUAACUUUUAUGUCAUUUGGUCUCUGGAGAGUUGUCUCAUUGGCAAUCAUACCACUGUGUGACAUCUUUUUUCUAUAGUUACGACCUUUGAACACGCCUGGUGAUGAUUAAUCUAUAUGUUUGACAGGCUAAAAUGUAUGCAUAAUUUGUAUAUUUGGAUUGUUUAAAACUGUUUUUAUGGCUUUUAAAAGCUAAACGUAGGUGUAUAAUUAAAGAUUUUUUGCAUCUUA